rnacentral:antisense_RNA from 1 species
CUCUAUGGCGGCUGUGUGCGGGCGGACUUCGGUCCGGCCGGUUCUCUGUUCCCGGUUUUCUCACCCUGCACAUAGCUGCCACCACU